UGGGGAAUUUUGGGCAAUGGGGGAAACCCUGACCCAGCAACGCCGCGUGAAGGAUGAAGUAUUUCGGUAUGUAAACUUCGAAAGAAUAGGAAGAAUAAAUGACGGUACUAUUUAUAAGGUCCGGCUAACUACGUGCCAGCAGCCGCGGUAAUACGUAGGGACCAAGCGUUGUUCGGAUUUACUGGGCGUAAAGGGCGCGUAGGCGGCAUGACAAGUCACUUGUGAAAUCUCUGGGCUUAACCCAGAACGGCCAAGUGAUACUGUCGCGCUAGAGUGCAGAAGGGGCAAUCGGAAUUCUUGGUGUAGCGGUGAAAUGCGUAGAUAUUAGGAAGAACACCGGUGGCGAAGGCGGCCCACUGGCUCGAUACUGACGCUGAGGUGCGAAAGCGUGGGGAGCAAACAGGAUUAGAUACCCCAGUAGUCCCUGAGCGGGCUGGCAAGGCGCAU
rnacentral:rRNA from 1 species